AGCUUUGGAUGAGCAGGAUUGGCCCCUUCACACAUUCCAACAAUUCACAGAGGGUAUAGGUUUUGGGGUGGGCCAAUUCAGAGCUCUGGAUCGGGACUGGCCAGCCCACCUGCUCUCCUUCUCCAGCUCUGCUCUGCGUAGGCCAUCACCCAGUGCUACCAUAGCAGGUGUCAGGGUCAGCUCUCCUGCUCUCAGGCCUUCGGGACUGGCUCUCCUGUCACCAGAGUCAGCUGCACUGUACUGCCUAGUCAAGGUUCGGGACCCACUCUCCUAAGUGCUGCAGCCUACGAGGGGCUGGGUCAGCUCUUCAGAUCUCACACCCUUAAGGCUGGCUCACUCAUGCCUUCUCCAUCAGGGCCAGCUCUAUUGUGCUGUCCAGGCGAGGUACAGGGCUAGCUCUCCAGUGGUACAGCCAGUGAGUGGAGAGGGCCAGCUUACACACUCUCCUGAUCCCAGAGACAGCUCUUCUGACUACUGUAGGGAGCAAGAUGAGGAGGGGGAGGACAUCACCCCACACCCAGACCACUGCCUGGAUUUGAUUUGACUAGAUUUUUAUGAGUCCUAGGUAUAAGGCAGCUCCGGCCACCAAGCCAGGCAUCGAGCUAGGAUGAACAACGGACUGCCCUCUGCUCUGCCCCUGACUGAUGUAAAGCACAACACCAUCAAAAAGGUUGUACGUAGCAAAACUGUAGUGUCCUGAGGGGCUGGCACUCUCCCUGGUUUUGGCCAUCUACUGAGGGUAUUGCAAGCUAUACCCUGCAAAUAAGCCGAGACUGCAAGGUACACUGGCUUUUCUUCUUGUCCUUUCUUCAACUGUGUCCAGGCUUCAAUCUCCUGUGCCGUCAUAAAGCACAACCAGGAGCCUCAGGGUGUGCUGGCUCAAGCGCAGCAGCUGAGGUUGGCAAGGCCAUAUGCUGAAUACUAACACAUGGAGGUCCCACCUUCCCACCACCGUUUUCUCGCAUCUUGAGUCAAGGGCUUCUUCAUCUGUGACCAUGUCUCAAUAAAUGCCAUAGUCUACUGGAGUCAGUUUU